CAUCCUAAACAUUAAUAAUUUUACCUCUCUCCCCAUCCUAAUUAAGAAAUAAAGAACUCACCUUUCAUGUAAAUCAUGUAGCUCAGCAGCCGCUAGAUUUAGAAAACAGAUAAAAAUUUUCAACAGAUGUUGAUUCUGCUGAAGCUCUAUUUGGCGGCAGAAAGUAUCUCACAAGCUGACCCCAUCUUCACUUGAAACCUAACAAAAUAUUAAUUGAUUAAUUAAUUGACACAGCUUAUCAAACCGGUAAGAAAUAAGAUCAACGGGCCCUUCUCGCUGUCAAUUCGAAGGUCCAAUCCGACUUUCUUCAAAAUUCCCUCUGCUUAUGUGCUCUACACACCAACCAUAGGAUCGCUUGUUUCAAGGAAAAAAAUUUUCCUACGUAUAAUCAUUUAACAUAUAAAAAUGUGAUUUUUUUUUUAUUUAUUAUAUAUAAUUAUAUCCCCAGCCCACACAGAAACAGAAGAAGAGGGUAAAAAUAUCUAAACAAAUCACUUUUCUCUGUCUCUUUUUUUUAUUUUUCACCUGAUGCAUUAACGACUGGCAUAUAUGGCUUUUUCUAGAGAGCAAUUCUUGGAAUGCCUUGGUAGAUUGUUUUCUAUCAUAUGGGUCUCUUUAAAGAAUGCCCACUCCAAGACUCAAUCUCUCUCUUUCUUUCUCCCCAUCGAGAAGUUGUAUAUAAAUACACGAGCAAGGUCAGCUUUCUUUGCUCCUGUGAACUAGAAUAGAGAGAGAUAUGGUGAAGGAGGGCAUGCAUCGUUAUUAUAAUGGGCGAGUAGCUCUUGCUGGAGAAGCAGGGCACGUGCA
rnacentral:precursor_RNA from 1 species